UACGUAGGUAGCGAGCGUUGUUCGGAGUUACUGGGCGUAAAGAGUGCGUAGGCGGUUUUCUAAGUUUGGUGUGAAAUCUCCCGGCUUAACUGGGAGGGUGCGCCGAAAACUGGAAGGCUUGAGUAUGGGAGAGGUAAGCGGAAUUCCUGGUGUAGCGGUGAAAUGCGCAGAUAUCAGGAGGAACACCGGUGGCGAAGGCGGGUCUCUGGGCCGAUACUGACGCUGAGGAGCGAAAGCGUGGGGAGCGAACAGG
rnacentral:rRNA from 1 species